rnacentral:rRNA from 1 species
UACGGAGGGUGCAAGCGUUAAUCGGAAUUACUGGGCGUAAAGCGCACGCAGGCGGUCUGUCAAGUCGGAUGUGAAAUCCCCGGGCUCAACCUGGGAACUGCAUUCGAAACUGGCAGGCUAGAGUCUUGUAGAGGGGGGUAGAAUUCCAGGUGUAGCGGUGAAAUGCGUAGAGAUCUGGAGGAAUACCGGUGGCGAAGGCGGCCCCCCUGGACAAAGACUGACGCUCAGGUGCGAAAGCGUGGGGAGCAAACAGG